GGGGGGGGGGGGGGGGGGGGGGGGGGGGGGGGGGGGGGGGGGGGGGGGGGGGGGGGGGGGGGGGGGGGGGGGGGGGGGGGUUUUUUUUUUUUUUUUUUUUUUUUUUUUUUUUUUUUUUUGUGUGUAUCUUUUUUGGGGCCAUUUUGAGACUAAAACCAAGAGGUAUCUCAGGGGGGGUUAUGGUUAGCUCACACUAUGCAGAAUUACACACAGUAGGAAAUCUGGGGAUUUCUCUCUCUUGCUUCAGUGACUCUAGCAGCUUGCCCAGCACUCCUAAAGCGACAUGUUGUAAGGGUCAUGGGUUUGGAGCAAAGCCAAUACUAGUGUUAGCAAGCAGAAUUCCUUAUGACUCCACUUUUUAAAUUUUUUUUUUUCCUUUUUCUCUUUGCUAUUGGCCCAACACAAGCAGCAAAAGUAACAUGUCUGAACCUGUUUCAUUGUCUGUUCUGGUGGUUACCCACUUUCUUCUCCCCUGGUUCAGGGAAAGUGAGGAAAAAAGGUUUGCCUUUGCCCAGCAGCACUGCAGGUGUCUGUCCCUCUGAAAGAGUCCCAGCGGUGUGGGCGUGCUGGAAAGAAAAAUCCCCAGUGACUUCACCCAGCUUGGCUUGUGGUGGUUACUCACAAUGAGGUAACUUUUUUUUUCUAAAUUAUUUCUUUUCUUUUUUUUUUUUUUUUUUUUUUUUUUUUUUUUUUUUUUUUUUUUUUUUUUUUUUUUUUUACAUCUGAGUUUUUGCAUAUGAGUGAAACUGCAGCUCUGGGACGAUUCAGGGAGUUUUCUCUGCAGAGUAAUUUUGCCUUUACACUGCUAUUACAGCUCUGGUAUCCUAUAGCAAGUAAGAACAUAACAUUACAUCUGUUCACACGUGGGAGAUGGAGGAACUGCAUUAAGAGCCCAUCAGAUAGGAAGGUUCUUGUCCUGUUUGAAACACCAAAGAAGGCAGAAUUUUCAGUGCUGGUGGUUUGUGGAAAAAAAGAAAAAAAGCUACGGAGGACGUUUUACGUUGGGCAGAGAUUUCAGGCUGCAGCAAGAUCCAGCCUGUGCACUUGUGAAAGGCUGUGCUCUCCUCUGGGGCUGGAGGAAGACAAAGGGAAGAGCAUGGUGUGCACCUGUGUCUCCAACUGGCCAGACAAGAAGGAAGCUUUGAUAUUUGACAUGACUUUUUCCUCUUUCAUACGGGUCCAAGCAAAAUCAGUCUCUGUUGCUUCAUAUCUUUGAGAAGAAUGCAAUAACUAAAGUAAGAUGAUAAAUUGAAAUUUGGAAAUGGAAAGGGCUUAAAAUCAAUGUAUCUGAAGGUGACUGGGCUAUUAACAUGACAUGAACUUUCUUGUGACCUAUAUGCAUGCAGAGAUUGACACCUAUACAGGAUCAAAGGAGCUUAUGAAAGGCUACAGUACAUGAGAGGAAAUUGAAAAUGUGUAGGUUGUCGAUCUCAAGAGUGGCUUUUA
rnacentral:lncRNA from 1 species